AUCUUCACAAGCCAUAUUAGUUCCCCCUCCACCUCCUAGAAGCCUCACAUUUGUUUACCCCACAUCAAUCGCCAGUUAGAAACACAAAACUGAUUCCCACUUCCAUGCAUGUGCUCUCUAUGUAGCCCUUUGGUGACUGAUUAGUACCUCUAAGAAGUCUCUCUUCAGAGUCAACGGUAGUGCUACUCAUUCUUUCUGCCACAUCUGCAUUCAUUAGAUAAGUAUCAAAGUCUACUUACCUGUAUUGGAAUUACCCCCUCUGAAACCUACUUCCUUUAUGGCAAACAAAACAUCUUUGGCUGAUGUAAAGUUUUUCAAGUAAAAUUCUAUUUUGGGAUGUUCACUGAGUGGAAGAAAGAAAAUGUUAUUCAGGGAGAAUUAAAAAGGUAAAAUAAGCAACAUUACAUGCCUUAAAAAACAGUUUUAAAACC
ensembl:lncRNA novel transcript, antisense to COCH